GGGUAGGUAGCUCAAUUGGUAGAGCACCGCAUUGAAAAUGCGGGGGUUGCCGGUUCAAGUCCGGCCCUGCCCA
rnacentral:tRNA from 2 species